rnacentral:lncRNA from 1 species
GCAGAAACGAGGAGCUGGGGUAGAUCUUGGAAAGGUCACCCCAGCCAUCUACACCCUAGACACCUCUAGCAUAGAUAUUAUACAUGGUCUACAUGUCAUUCCUAUAUAUUUACUGAGCACUCCAUAUGUGGCAGCCAAGAGUCAGAGGCCACUGACACAGAAAUAGGUUUCAUGGUUCCUGCCCUUGAAACAAAUGAGAUUCCUCUAUUUUACAUAAGUUAUUAGAAAAGGGAAAGGAAGAUUUUCUAAGGUUAGAAUGCAAUUCUACAGUAAUUAACUGACUGCCAAUCACUCUUAAUGGACACAAUCCCCGUUGUGUAGUCGUCAAGAGCACAGGUAGGGAUGGGCAGAUCAAGGUUCAGGAUUGACUCUUCCACUUAUUAGAUGAGUGACUUUGUACAAGAUACUUCACUUUGCUAAGUCUCAGUGUUCUUUUCAUAAAGUGUGAGCUAGAGUAGCAUCUCUCUCCCAGGGUUCUUGGGAAGAUUAAUUGAAUUAAUAGGGGAGAAAGAGAGACAGAGAGAUUAGGAAAUUGGAAACAAAAAAUAUAUUGAUUAGUACAUGAAUAUUAUAAGAGAAGCCUGGAAGAGGUCUCAGAAAUCAAGAGAAGAAAUUCUAAUAUUCUAUCUGGAAGAGAUUAAAUGUUAGGAAUGAAUGAUUAUUAGUGUUCAUAACGGUGGACCUCAGAGGCCAAAAAAACGGUCAUCAAGCCAUCCUCUUAUUUCUUAUCCCAUAGGAAAUACUGGGACUGAAGAGGUGGGACUUUGGGGACAUGAUCUCAUAAACAAUGACAUCUGGAGUUUUCUCAGGUGAAAUUAAGAUGAAUCAACUGAGUGAUGUCCGCUCGUCUGAGGUCGUCAGGAAAGGAGGAGGACCGGGAGGAGGACGAAGAGAAGAAGCCUGGACGCGUUAAUCACUACUUCCGUUUUCUGUCUGUCCCCCAGGAGACUUCUUGCCCUGUGGUUGAACAUGCUCAUCUGACAAUAAUCCGUCUCCUGGUCUAGCGCCCCUUACCAGCGGAGGCUCAUCCCCCACUCCCCGCCUCCUCGUCUGCUUUGCUCUUUCUCUGCCCACCUGGCCUAUUUCUGGAGUCACCGUUUGAGAGCCCUGAUAACAGUUAAACUUGCCCGCUUUGGGUGUAGCUAUUGACGGUCUGCGUCUUUUCUCCACGUGAAUUGUAAACCCGGCCCUGGUCUGCCAGUGCCUGGACAAGGUCACCAUGUUUCCUACUGAGGGAUGUCUACGCCAGAGGGACGCGGCUGCCGAGGAGCUGGACGGAGCGGGUCCGCCCUGGACACGCGCGGCUGGGCAGCUCCCAGGGUGGUGAGCGGGAUUUUAUUUUUAGUUCUCUUUUCUUUUCUUUGACCUUGUCCCUUAAAAUUGUUUUUGGUUAGGCUGGGUAUUUUUGAGUAUG